UACGGUGGGGGCAAGCGUUGUUCGGAAUUACUGGGCGUAAAGGGCUCGUAGGCGGCCAACUAAGUCAGACGUGAAAUCCCUAGGCUCAACCUAGGAACUGCGUCUGAUACUGGAUGGCUUGAAUCCGGGAGAGGGAUGCAGAAUUCCCGGUGUAGCGGUGGAAUGCGCAGAUAUCGGGAGGAACACCCGUGGCGAAGGCGGGUCCCUGGGACGGUACUGACGCUGAGACGCGAAAGCGUGGGGAGCGAACAGG
rnacentral:rRNA from 1 species